GAAAUUGCUUCUACAGUUCCUAUACUAAAAUUCGAACAAUACACGGAAGAUUAGCAUGGCGCCUGCUCAAGGAUGACGUGGAAAUUCGUGAAGCGUUCCAUAUUUUU